rnacentral:rRNA from 1 species
UACGUAGGGUGCAAGCGUUGUCCGGAAUUAUUGGGCGUAAAGAGCUCGUAGGCGGUUUGUCGCGUCUGCUGUGAAAACUCGGGGCUUAACCCCGGGCCUGCAGUGGGUACGGGCAGACUAGAGUGCGGUAGGGGGAGACUGGAAUUCCUGGUGUAGCGGUGAAAUGCGCAGAUAUCAGGAGGAACACCGGUGGCGAAGGCGGGUCUCUGGGCAACAACUGACGCUGAGGAGCGAAAGCGUGGGGGAGCGAACAGG